GACAGAGGGUGCAAACGUUGUUCGGAAUUACUGGGCGUAAAGCGCGUGUAGGCGGCCAUCUAAGUCGGGCGUGAAAUCCCACGGCUCAACCGUGGAAGUGCACUCGAAACUGGAUGGCUAGAGUCCUGGAGAGGAAGGUGGAAUGCUUGGUGUAGAGGUGAAAUUCGUAGAUAUCGUGAGGAACACCAGAGGCGAAGGCGGUUACCUGGACAGUUACUGACGCUCAGGCACGAAAGCGUGGGGAGCAAAAGGG
rnacentral:rRNA from 1 species